rnacentral:lncRNA from 1 species
CCGGUGACCAGUCUCCAGGUUGGAAGAUUCCUCCCUUGUCCCUGCCUUUCCUAAAAAAAGAAACCAGCUCAUUGCAGCCUGAGGCUCUUUCUUUUAGAGGAUUCCUCCUUUCCUCUUCUGGAAGUUCGAGCGAUAGUCUUUUUAAGACUCAGAGAAGAAACCGAAGCACAGAAAGGUGAAGCAAAGUUGGUGCUUGACCCCAUCGCUCAAAAGGGGCAGAGUGGAAGAACGCGUGUGACCAGAAACCAGGCAGGAAAGGGUUAAAGUCUGAUCCAUAACUAAACAAAGUCUGUCAAGUGUUUUCCAGACAAGGAGAAAACUAUAUGUGCUGUUUUCCAGAAGUUGAUGUCCUCCUUUUGGCAGAUGGUGCCCUCCUACAGUGAGACUUACACCGUUGCAGCAGGACCCCUGUAAAUUCCUCCAGUUCCAAGUAUCCAAAACUUACCUUGGACCUGUUCUGUAAGGCAUGUUGCAUUGAGCUCACUAUGUAAUGGCCUGCACAUGCUCCCUGAUUAGGCCCAUUUGUUACACAGUUGUAACAUAUGGACACUCCGGAGCAUAAAGUCUCCACCUGCACUAAGGGGGGAGGGGAUGGGGAAGGCAGUGCUGUGGAAGCUAUGCCCAGUGUCCUCCAUUGCUUACUGCAAGCAACUAAACCAUUUUUCUUCACUCACUUAGCCUUGGUUGUGCUUUUCAGCCCUGCGCUCACCCAUUGAGUUCGGUUACACAUGGGCAGAUGGUUUUACUCUAGAGCUUGUAUUCUCAACCAUUAUGAUAACAACUGACAAACCACCUGGAAAAAAACAAAGAUGGAGCUCAGCAGUAGGUCCUGGUCCAGCUUGCUGGGCUCAACCCUUGCUCUUUGGCCCUGAAACAUGGGCGGUAUCUGAGUGCAUAUGUCCACAGAUGGGUCAUUGUUAGCACAGGGAUAGAAAUAUCUUGGCGUUAUUAUCUAACCUGUGAACAGGUAGCAGGAUGGCCCUGGUGGCAGAGAAAGAAAUUGUGCCCACCACCAGGAAGUGAGAACCAGGCGAUGAGAUGUGUUAAAGGCAGGUUUGCAACCUGGUAAAGUAAUUAUGCUGGACUUGAAAGGACCUCACCCUGGAAAUGCAAAAUGCCAUUGUAAACAACCUACGUGUUUCCCACCAAGAAGAGGAGAAAGCUGAGAAGGAAAGCUCCCCCAACAUCUGCAUGCUGGAUAUACCUUUGACUCUGCUCUGCCUGCCUGUGCCCUGGGACCUGACCUCCAUGGCCUGCAUCUCUUGGGCUUUCUUGUCCUCUGGCUUCCAUUUGUCUUCAAUGGAUGUACCAGCAGGAAACCAGAGAUCCAGAGGAGAGAGCAGUUAGAAUGUUUACUCUGAUGGCUGCAGAUUUGGCAGUGGCUGCAUUCCUCAAUCUAUGGCCACAUCUCCUGGUGGGUGGCCUCUUUCCCAUGACGAUGGGCUCACUGGCUUCCACUAACACUGCUCCCUCCCCUUGUCCCUUUGUGCCUAGGGGAGGGGAAGUCUUCUCACUCUUGCUAAUUCCUGAGUACUUAACCAUUUAUUGUUGAGUCCAUUAAUCCUGCCAGCACCUGUGUCAACAGUCUUUCCAUUAAACUCGCUUCAGUUAAGCUUUGGAUGUA